CCCGACUGCAAGCGGCUGCUCUCGCCGAUAGGUCUGUGCGGCGCCGCAUGAAGUCGAACACACCUGGACUCUUUCUGUUCCCGGUAGUGAUGCUCUCGCGGUGUUUGGAUUAAAGAUAUUUUCUCCCUGUGUCCGCGUGGGUUUCCUCCCACAGCCUAAAGACAGACUUCAAGUUCCACAAGCGUUCGUUUGACCAGCAGAUGUCCUCCUCGUGCUGUGGUUCGGCUCCAAACAGCUGUUCUGACAUUCCUGUCAGAAUGAUGUAGUUCUGCACAGGCCCCUCCCACGAUAGUUGAUUGACAAGACUGUCUUACCUUAGACCCGCCCUGAGUGAGCUGUCAUCAGUCCGCCAUGGUGUCGACUCCGGUGCAGGGGAAGACAAGAUCAUCUCAGAUUAAGCGAUUGAGGGAAUGCGCCGAUCCCCGAUCUGCCUAAAUGCGUCUAUGUUCACGCGAAGCAUUCAUGAUCCAGCUUCAUCUACAGAAGAAUAUCCAGUGGAUGAUCGAAGGGCACAAGAAGAAUCUGGAGGGGCACAAGGAGAAUCUGGCCCCCCCUUAGACCCGGCCCUGGCUGAGAUGUGGACUGCCACUAACCUGCCACACAUGACUAUAUCAGUUUAUAUGUGUUAUUCCAAAUAAAAGCCAAAUGUUAACCAUAAGUUAACACAUUACAUGGUGUGCCAUUGCCAAGCCAUAUAUGGCUCUCAUUUGUGUGCUGUCAUCUGGACCAUAUACCUCAAAACAUAUUGUCAUCUUAAAGAAAAUUCCCUCCAAUUCUGAAGCUAUGGCAACACAUAUGGGGAAAGUUUGGCCCAUAUGUUCUCAGCCAUACCUAGGCCAAAUGUGAUAGCUAUCAGCCACAUUUGGCCCAAACGUUCUUGCUAACUCAGCUUGUGGAAAAU